GGGUCAGUAGGUUGGUCGUGCCACCGGUACGUACUGGUCUCACUGAUUCCUCCUUCCUGAAGAACCGUAAUGCCAUUAAUUUGGUGUUGCGGGGAAACAGGACUGUUACUUUGAAAAAAUUAGAGUGUUUAAAGCAAGCUAACGCUUGAAUACAUUAGCAUGGAGUAAUGAAAUAGGACGAUCGAUCCUAUUUUGCUGGUUUCUAGGAUUGACGUA
rnacentral:rRNA from 1 species